CAGCGAAGCACCGCCAGGCAACAUGGAAAAAAGAGAAACAGAAUGAAAGUGUAGCAAAUGCUAUGGAAACCAAAAGGAAUCGAACCUACCUUUUGUUGAGAGGAGCAGGUGGCACUGACAUCCCAUCAGCACUGGGCAGAGCUGAGCAUGGGGAGAGGAACAACACCCGGUGACAGCAACAUGAGCACGAGGGACAAGCGACACCAAUCCCCAAAGGACCUGAGCGAGCGUGUGAAACAGGAGACGGCAGGGAUCCAGGUACCUUGGCGCAGAGCCUCAGGAGCGGACCCUGGCAUCCACCAGCGGCUGUGCUUUCCUGCUGCAUCCAACAAAGUCUUUCUCGCAGUCCUCACGCUGCUUAGAAGAGCAAGCCAUGUCCGGAACCUCAAGCCGAACAGAAUGCGACGAGCAAGGAGCUGGGCAUCAAUCUCAAGGCCAACAAGUCGGUCCCUCCCAAACCUCACUGCUCACCCAACCUCACUGACACCAGAAGCCCAGGCACACAUGUGAGCCCUGCGAUUCCCAGCCCUUACAUGAGCUCAGGCUGGGCUCUGGCUCCACCCACUCCCACCCCCGGCUUCAUCGCACCCACCUGGGCUUCCACCCUGCUGCUGCCAUCCUGCACCAGCUUGUCCAUCAUUCCUUCACUCUCUUCUGUAACAGGAUGAGAGGGAAGAAAGGAGAGAGAGCAAAGAGGAAAAAGGGAAUAGGGGACAGCAGAGAACAAAAAAAAGGGGGGG